AAUAAAGCCCUUGAAGGCUUAAGAUGUAGGAAUAAUUAAAUGAAGGGUAUUGUAGUAAUUGUAUAAAUACAUAAUAUAUAUAAAUAGAAAAAAAAAAAAACAAGAGAUCUGAAAAUUUAGAGUAAAAAAAACUGACGGGAGAGAGAAGGGAGAAAGAGGAAGAAGAAGAAGAAGAGAAAAGAGGGGAAAAUAAGGGAAAAAGGAAAGGAGUUGGAGGAAAUAAAUAAAAAGGGAUAAUCCUGAUAUUCUACCGGCGGGACGUCAGUAGGAUUUUUUUCUUCGAUAUCAGCUUUGAGUUUUAUUGCUUUCAAGUCAGGCUUAUAGCUUGAUAGCAGGUCAUUUUGUUGGACCUUCAGAACCUGCUCUUUUGGUAGUAAUUUGUACCUUCCUUUAUGUCUAGUUAGUGCUCCAAAACUCUGAACUUAUAUAAACUCUUGUAUUAAGACAAUUCAAUUAUAUUAUGAAGUUGAUUUUGUUAUAAA